rnacentral:rRNA from 1 species
AUUCCCUCARUAACGGCGAGCGAACGGGGAAGAGCUCAGCGCCGAACUCCACGUCCAUYGGGCGUUCGGAGAAUGUGGCGUUCGGGAGGGAGCGCGCCCGACGUUCCCCGUCCCGGCAGCAAGUCCCCCUGACCGGGGCUCCUACCCAGAGCGGGUGCGAGGCCCAUAGCUGCCGAGGACGCGUCGGGACGCGACCUCUCUGGAGUCGGGUUGCUUGGGAGUGCAGCCCUAAGCGGGUGGUAAACUCCACCUAAGGCUAAAUACGGCCGCGAGACCGAUAGCGAACAAGUACCGUGAGGGAAAGUUGCAAAGAACUUUGAAGAGAGAGUUCAAGAGUACGUGAAACUGCUCAGGGGCAAACGGGUGGGCCCUCGAAAUCCAGUCGCGGGGGGAUUCAGUCGGAAGACUCUCGUAAAGUGGUAGACGCCUACCGACCUCUAGUGGCGGGGCGACGGCCGCAUCGAGAGUAGUCCGACGCAUUUCCCUCCCGUGCCGUGGACGCCGCAGCCGGUUGGGAGUCUGCCGUGAGGGGAGCAGCCGUGCAGGUGGCGGGGGAGGCGUCUUCGCGCGUCCUCUCCCGUUGUUAGCCCCGUCUCCCCGGGUCGAGACGCCCGACCGAGGUUACNGACACCGAAUGGUGUCUUGCCGCUUCCUCGCCAAYGUGUAACGGAAUCCC